AACGAACGCUGGCGGCAUGCCUAACACAUGCAAGUCGAACGAGACCUUCGGGUCUAGUGGCGCACGGGUGCGUAACGCGUGGGAACCUGCCUUUAGGUUCGGAAUAACUCAGAGAAAUUUGAGCUAAUACCGGAUAAUGUCUUCGGACCAAAGAUUUAUCGCCUUUAGAUGGGCCCGCGUUGGAUUAGCUAGUUGGUGGGUAAAGGCCUACCAAGGCGACGAUCCAUAGCUGGUCUGAGAGGAUGAUCAGCCACACUGGGACUGAGACACGGCCCAGACUCCUACGGGAGGCAGCAGUGGGGAAUAUUGGACAAUGGGCGAAAGCCUGAUCCAGCAAUGCCGCGUGAGUGAUGAAGGCCUUAGGGUUGUAAAGCUCUUUUGCCCGGGAUGAUAAUGACAGUACCGGGAGAAUAAGCUCCGGCUAACUCCGUGCCAGCAGCCGCGGUAAUGUAGAC
rnacentral:rRNA from 1 species